CAAAAAAAAAAAAAAAAAAAAAAAAAAAAGACAUCCUGAUGCCACCACACUACAAAAUGCUUUGUGCUACUGGCACAUGUGAAUUAAGACAGAUCCUGAUACCACUACACUACAGAAUGCUUUGGCUGACACCAUUUGAUCACUUGAUAUGGUUUGGUUCUGUGUCCCCACCCAAACCUUACCUAGAAUUGUAAUCCCCAUAAUCCUCACAUGUCAACAGGGUGAAGUGUAGGGUACCAGGUGGAGGUAAUUGGAUCAUGGGCGUGAUUUCCGCAUGCUGUUCGCAUGAUAAUGAGUGAGUGUCUCACGACAUCCGAUGGUUUUAUAAACAUCUAGCAUUUCCCCUGCUUGCACUCACUCUGUCCUGCUGCCCUGUGAAGAAGGUACCUGCUACUCCUUUGCCUUCCACCAUGAUUGUAAGAUUCCUCCCCAGCCAUGUGGAACCGUGAGUCAAUUUAACCUCCUUCCUUUAUUUACCCAGUCUCAGGUAUUUCUUCAUAGCAGUGUGAGAAUGGACUAAUACAGUAAAUUGAUACUGCAGAGAGAGGGGUGCUGCUAUAAAGAUACCCAAAAAUAUGGAAGUGACUUUGGAACUGCGUAACAGGUAGCGUUAGAACAGUUUGAAGGGCUCAGAAGAAGACAGGAAAUGUGGGAAAGUUUGGAACUUCAUUGAGACUUGUUGAAUGGCUUUCACCAAAAUGCUGAUAGUGACAUGGAAAAUGAAGUCUAGAUGGAGAUGGUCUCAGAUGCAGAUGAGAAACUUCCUGGUGACUCUUGUUAUGCUUUAGCAAAGAGACUGGCAUUUUGCCCCUGCCUUAGAGAUCUAUGGAACUUUGAACCUGAGAGACAGAAUUUAGGGUGUCUGGCAGAAGAAAUUUCUAAGCAGCAAAGCAUUCAAGAGGUGACAGAGCAUAAAAGUUUGGAAAAUUUGCAGCCUGAUGAUGUGGUAGAAAAGAAAAACCCAUUUUCUGAGAAUAAAUUCAAGUCAGCUGCAGAAAUUUGCAUAAGAAUGUUAAUUGCCAAAACAAUGGGGAAAAUAAAUGUCUCUAGGACAUGUCAGAGACCUUCCUAGCAGUCCCUCCCAUCACAGGCCAGGAGGCCUAGGAAGAAAAAAUGGUUUCAUGGGCUGGGUCCAGGGCCCCCCUGCUGUGUGAAGCCUUGGGAUUUGGUACCCUGCUUCCCAGUUACUCCAGCCAUAGUUAAAAGGGGCCAAGGUACAGCUCAUGCCAUUGCUUCGGAGGGUGUAAGCCCCAAGCCUUGGCACCUUCCAUGUGG
rnacentral:lncRNA from 10 species